rnacentral:rRNA from 1 species
GACGAACGCUGGCGGCGUGCUUAACACAUGCAAGUCGAGCGGUAAGGCCCUUUCGGGGGUACACGAGCGGCGAACGGGUGAGUAACACGUGGGUGACCUGCCUUCAGCUCUGGGAUAAGCCUGGGAAACCGGGUCUAAUACCGGAUAUGACCUCAUGACGCAUGUUGUGGGGUGGAAAGCCUUUGUGCGGCUGGGGAUGGGCCCGCGGCCUAUCAGCUUGUUGGUGGGGUGANGGCCUACCAAGGCGACGACGGGUAGCCGGCCUGAGAGGGCGACCGGCCACACUGGGACUGAGACACGGCCCAGACUCCUACGGGAGGCAGCAGUGGGGAAUCUUGCGCAAUGGGCGGAAGCCUGACGCAGCGACGCCGCGUGAGGGAUGACGGCCUCGG